AGGGUUUGAUUCUGGCUCAGGAUGAACGCUGGCGGCGUGCUUAACACAUGCAAGUCGAACGAAGCGAUUUGAAUGAAGUUUUCGGAUGGAUUUUAAAUUGACUGAGUGGCGGACGGGUGAGUAACGCGUGGGUAACCUGCCCCAUACAGGGGGAUAACAGUUAGAAAUGACUGCUAAUACCGCAUAAGACCACAGCACCGCAUGGUGCAGGGGUAAAAACUCCGGUGGUAUGGGAUGGACCCGCGUCUGAUUAGCUUGUUGGCGGGGUAACGGCCCACCAAGGCGACGAUCAGUAGCCGACCUGAGAGGGUGACCGGCCACAUUGGGACUGAGACACGGCCCAA
rnacentral:rRNA from 1 species